UUUUGGAAAGUAGAAUGUUGUAUUGUUGAUCAGAAUCUUUAUAGCCUGUGCGUUUGGGCUUAGUUGGUUGCCCAAGCGUGGCGUAGCACCCCAAUGGUUUAGAUUUUAAAUUUGCUUCCGCAUUUAUUUUCAAAAUGGUUA